rnacentral:rRNA from 1 species
AUUGAACGCUGGCGGCAGGCCUAACACAUGCAAGUCGAACGAGUGGCGGACGGGUGAGUAAUGUCUGGGAAACUGCCUGAUGGAGGGGGAUAACUACUGGAAACGCUAGCUAAUACCGCAUACUAUCAGAUGUGCCCAGAUGGGAUUAGCUAGUAGGUAAGGUAACGGGUCACCUAGGCGACGAUCCCUAGCUGGUCUGAGAGGAUGACCAGCCACACUGGAACUGAGACACGGUCCAGACUCCUACGGGAGGCAGCAGUGGGGAAUAUUGCACAAUGGGCGAAAGCCUGAUGCAGCCAUGCCGCGUGAAUGAAGAAGGCCUUCGGGUUGUAAAGUACUUUCAGCGGGGAGGCGUUACCCGCAGAGGAAGCACCGGCUAACUCCGUGCCAGCAGCCGCGGUAAUUC